UUUGAUCCUGGCUCAGAACGAACGCUGGCGGCAGGCCUAACACAUGCAAGUCGAGCGAGAUCUUCGGAUCUAGCGGCGGACGGGUGAGUAACGCGUGGGAAUAUGCCCUUCUCUACGGAAUAGCCUCGGGAAACUGGGAGUAAUACCGUAUACGCCCUAUGGGGGAAAGAUUUAUCGGAGAAGGAUUAGCCCGCGUUGGAUUAGGUAGUUGGUGGGGUAAUGGCCUACCAAGCCUACGAUCCAUAGCUGGUUUGAGAGGAUGAUCAGCCACACUGGGACUGAGACACGGCCCAGACUCCUACGGGAGGCAGCAGUGGGGAAUCUUAGACAAUGGGGGCAACCCUGAUCUAGCCAUGCCGCGUGAGUGAUGAAGGCC
rnacentral:rRNA from 1 species